rnacentral:rRNA from 1 species
UACGUAGGGCGCAAGCGUUAUCCGGAAUUAUUGGGCGUAAAGAGCUCGUAGGCGGUUUGUCGCGUCUGCUGUGAAAGACCGGGGCUCAACUCCGGUUCUGCAGUGGGUACGGGCAGACUAGAGUGCGGUAGGGGAGAUUGGAAUUCCUGGUGUAGCGGUGGAAUGCGCAGAUAUCAGGAGGAACACCAAUGGCGAAGGCAGAUCUCUGGGCCGUAACUGACGCUGAGGAGCGAAAGCAUGGGGAGCGAACAGG